rnacentral:rRNA from 1 species
UCCGUAGGUGGAUAAUUAAGUCAGAGGUGAAAUCCUGCAGCUCAACUGUAGAAUUGCCUUUGAUACUGGUUAUCUUGAAUUAUUGUGAAGUAGUUAGAAUAUGUAGUGUAGCGGUGAAAUGCAUAGAUAUUACAUAGAAUACCAAUUGCGAAGGCAGAUUACUAACAAUAUAUUGACACUGAUGGACGAAAGCGUGGGGAGCGAACAGGAUUAGAUACCCUGGUAGUCC